rnacentral:rRNA from 1 species
AGAACGAACGCUGGCGGCAUGCCUAACACAUGCAAGUCGAACGCUCUUGGGGCUUCGGUCUCAGGGGAGUGGCGCACGGGUGAGUAGCGCGUGGGAACCUGCCCUGUUGUGGGGGAUAACCGAGGGAAACUUCGGCUAAUACCGCAUAAGCCGGUUGUCUUGAAGGAGAUGGCCGGGAAAGAUUUAUCGCGACAGGAGGGGCCCGCGUCGGAUUAGCUAGUUGGUGGGGUAACGGCCCACCAAGGCGGUGAUCCGUAGCUGGUCUGAGAGGGAUGAUCAGCCACACUGGGACUGAGACACGGCCCAGACUCCUACGGGAGGCAGCAGUGGGGAAUAUUGGACAAUGGGCGCAAGCCUGAUCCAGCAAUGCCGCGUGAGUGAUGAAGGCCUUAGGGUUGUAAAGCUCUUUCGCCCGCGACGAUGAUGACGGUAGCGGGAGAAGAAGCCCCGGCUAACUUCGUGCCAGCAGCCGC